UGACAGGGACUGCUGAUCAGGUUAGAUGGGCCCUUGUCCAAAGCAGAUUGGAUCUCUUUUCAGCUGUUUCAGCAGAGAGGAUCAGAAAUGACAGAGGAAGAAGAGAAGAAAUUGUUUCUCUCAAUUCAUCCAGUAUCUUUUCUGUCAUUCAAAGCCUUCAGACUCUGGAGAAAUUGAAUGAACACACACUGUGGGACCAGGAGAGCAGAAGGCAUUGGAGAAAUCACUCAGCGAGAGAAGAAGAGGGGAAGGAUUUGAGCAGAAAUGGGCUCAGAGGAAGGACAGAGAGGUGGAAGAAUUCCUUUUGCUUGCAGAGAAAUGAGUUGCUAUUAAUGCAACAUAACUAUUUUGAAGAUGUCUGAGAGUGGAUGUGGGAGACGUCUGCAAAAGCUGAAGUGCUACUGAGGAAUGAAGAGGCAAAGCUUGUUCGCAAACUCUUCUGCUACAAGAGCAAGGAGACAUCAGGUCUGGAAGGCAGACGGCACUUUGCAGAAAGCAAGCUGAAAACAAACACGAGGACAUCCUUCAGACAGAGAUUUGUUGCUUAGGCAGCUGGCUUCUCACGUCAGACAUUUACACAGGUUCAAAAAGCCAUUGGACAAAUUCCUGAAAGAAAAACACAAAAUUUGAAGGCCUCGUAAAUAUAGGAGUGCCCUUCUGAUGAUUCUGUGGUGGGACUCUGCCAGACAGCACAUGCUGGAGUUUAAGACAGUGAUGAAUUCUGGGCAACACCUCCAUCCACCCUUCCACCCAGCUGUAGAAUCGUGGAACAGUUUUGGUUGAAAAGACCGUUUAAAGAUCAUUUAGUUCCAGAUCUGUGCUCUGAGCAGGGAUAUUGUGCAUGGGCUUCAUCCAUCCAUACACCUACCCAUGCAUCUGCUCAUGCAUCCAGGACUUCAGGUGCUUCCAGUUCCCACAUGAAGCUGGUUAUCAGUUCUUAAAACCACCAAUGAGAGAUCCCAAU
ensembl:lncRNA